rnacentral:rRNA from 1 species
AUUGAACGCUGGCGGCAUGCUUUACACAUGCAAGUCGAACGGUAACAGGCCGCAAGGUGCUGACGAGUGGCGAACGGGUGAGUAAUGCAUCGGAACGUGCCCAGUCGUGGGGGAUAACUACUCGAAAGAGUAGCUAAUACCGCAUACGAUCUAUGGAUGAAAGCGGGGGACCGUAAGGCCUCGCGCGAUUGGAGCGGCCGAUGUCAGAUUAGGUAGUUGGUGGGGUAAAGGCUCACCAAGCCAACGAUCUGUAGCUGGUCUGAGAGGACGACCAGCCACACUGGGACUGAGACACGGCCCAGACUCCUACGGGAGGCAGCAGUGGGGAAUUUUGGACAAUGGGCGCAAGCCUGAUCCAGCAAUGCCGCGUGCAGGAGGAAGGCCUUCGGGUUGUAAACUGCUUUUGUACGGAACGAAACGGCUCUGGUUAAUACCCGGGGCUAAUGACGGUACCGUAAGAAUAAGCACCGGCUAACUACGUG